rnacentral:rRNA from 1 species
CCUACGGGGGGCAGCAGUGGGGAAUAUUGCACAAUGGGGGAAACCCUGAUGCAGCGACGCCGCGUGAGUGAAGAAGUAUUUCGGUAUGUAAAGCUCUAUCAGCAGGGAAGAAAAUGACGGUACCUGAGUAAGAAGCCCCGGCUAACUACGUGCCAGCAGCCGCGGUAAUACGGAGGGGGCAAGCGUUAUCCGGAUGUACGGGGUGUAAAGGGAGCGUAGACGGCAGCGCAAGUCUGGAGGGAAAUGCCGGGGCUUAACCCCGGGACGGCUUUGGAAACUGUGCAGCUAGAGUGCAGGAGAGGUAAGUGGAAUUCCUAGUGUAGCGGUGAAAUGCGUAGUUAUUAGGAGGAACACCAGUGGCGAAGGCGACUUACUGGACUGUAACUGACGUUGAGGCUCGAAAGCGUGGGGAGCAAACAGGAUUAGAUACCCUAGUAGUC